ensembl:lncRNA
AAAUACAUAACACAAUAAAUACACUGGACAAAACAAAUACACAAGACAAAACAAUAAAUACACAGGAAAAUACAAUAAACACACAGGACAAUAAAUAAACAAAACAAUAAUUACAUAGAACAAUAAACAUACAGGACAAUACAAUAAACACACAGGACAAUAAAUACUCAGGACAAUACAAUAAGUACACAGAACAAUAAAUAAACAAAACAAAACAAUAAAUACACGGAACAAUAAACACACAGGACAAUAAAAUAAACACACAGGACGAAACAAACACACAGGACGGGACAAUAAAUACACAGGAUGGUAAAUACACAGGACAAUACAGUAAACACACAGGAAAAUACAAUAAAUACACAGGACAAAACAAUAAACACACGACAAUACACAAGACGGGACAAUAAAUUCACAGGACGAAACAAUAAGUACACAGUACGGGACAAUAAAUACACACAACAAUAAAUACACAGGACAAUAAUUACACAGAAUAAUAAAUAUACAGGACAAUUAAUACACAAAACAAUAAUUACUUAGAAUAAUAAAUAUACAGGACAAUUAAUACAAAGGACAAUAAAUAAACAAAACAAUAAAUACACAGAACAAUAAAUACAAAGGACAAUAAAUAAACAAAACAAAACAAUAAAUACACAGAACAAUAAACACAGGACAAAACAAUAAAUACACAGGACAAUAAAUACACAGGACAAAACAAUAAACACACAGGACAAAACAAUAAACACACAGGACAAAACAAUAAAUACACAGGACAAUAAAUACACAGGACAAAACAAUAAAUACACAGGACAAUAAAUACACAGGACAAAACAAUAAAUACACAGGACAAAACAAUAAAUACACAGGACAAUAAAUACACAGGACAAAACAAUAAACACACAGGACAAAACAAUAAACACACAGGACAAAACACACAGGACAAAACAAUAAACACACAGGGCAAUAAAUACACAGGACAAAACAAUAAAUAAAAAUGACAAAACAAUAAACACAGCACAAAACAAUAAAUACACAGGACAAUACACACACAGGAAAAAACAAUAAAUACACAAAACAAUAAAUACACAGGACAAAACAAUAAACACAGGACAAUAAAUACACAGGGCAAUACAAUAACCACACAGGACAAAAAAAUAAAUACACAGGACAAAACAAUAAAUACACAGGACAAUAAAUACACAGGACAAAACAAUAUUUACAUUUAUGGCAUUUUGGCCGACGCCCUUAUCCAGAGCGACUUACAUUUAUCUCAUUUAUACAUCUGAGCAGUUGAGGGUUAGGGGCCUUGCUCAAGGGCCCAACAGUGGUAUCUUAGCAGUGCUGAGGCUUGAACUUCUGACCUUCUGAUCAGUCACCCAGAGCCUUUAACCACUGAUCCACCACUUCCCCAAUAAAUAGAUAGGACAAAACAAAUACACUGGACAAUAAAUACACAGGACAAUCAAUACACGUGGCUGGUUUUCUAUGGCGUUCUGGAAGCACAGCAGCGUUUACAACGUCACUGUCUUCCAGUUCCCUUUUCCUCUUCUGCACAACCUGAACCGAGAAACACGACAAGAAGUUUCAAUCAAUAUCCUGUAUAAGCGUGUCUGACCUGCUUCUCCGACAGUUUACUUGCUGUACUCUACACAAAGUAAAGAGACGUUUCGACCUGACGCAGAGGCUCGGCAUGUUGUCUCUUACGAUUCCCACAGUAGUUCUGCUCUUGAGAAGGCAUUUCAGAAUCUUCCACAGAGAUCGCGCUCUGAACUCAGUUUGUGUCGAUCCUUAAAAUGGAAUAUCAUUCUUUUAGAAUUUUAGAACCAGAAUAGAAGAUGGGCUUCAGAACACUUGUGACCUCAGUUGACCUCUGCUGAGUUCAGUUCGUUCAUCAGUACACCAUCAAGAAAAUAACAGGACAGAGAAUCUGGAGAUGAUUUACUUCUAUCAUUCACAAAUUAUUAUAAAUAUAAUAAUAAUAAUAAUAAUAAUAACAACAACAACAACAACAACAAACAGACACAAAAGCCAAUUGCAUUUUAUAUGCAAUAAUGAGCAGUUGGAUAUGCAAAAAUAUGUUAAAUAAAUAAAUAAAUAAAUAAAUAAAUGAGUAAAAUAAAAAUAUUUUGAUGUGGUCAUCUUUGAGCCCCUUGAAUAGCCGAUGUUAGGCCUAUAACUGACUGCUGAAAGAAUG